UGGCGAUGAUUACAUAUUAUCCGCGCUUCUGAGUUUUCUCGAUGAAGUACAAAGGAUAAAAAUUGGUUGAAUUUCUUGAUAUGAGCCA